CCCAGAGUUCAAAAGGUCCUGCUGAAUGUUUGGGGUCUUUCUGUCAGCAAUCUUGACCAUCAUUGGACACGACAACCGCUGAAGGCUUCACAGGCUGGUCACUUCAUGAAGUCCCUUUGAGACAAUUAUUAGAUUAUUUUUAUACCUCCACCAGGUGAAGUCCACCUGCCUCUCCUGCAAUGCCACUGUUUGUAUUCUCUAUAGCAGUUCUCCAACCUUUCAUCACAACAGCAGGAUCAUUGUAUGAAAUCUAUGUAUUCUGCUUCUUUCAGUUACUCCUAAUGCUACUUUUCAUUAUCUUUCAGAUGGAUGCGCAAUAGCAUGGAGAUUAUUCAUAACAUUUGACCAGCACGAACCUGUCCUAGCAUGGUGUCAUGACAACAAUGAUAUUCAAUGGGGUUACCACACAUCAAAAGUUAUUACACCUUUGAUUCAGAAAACAAGGAUACCAGCACAAGAGCAGCUUGGGAUUGGAGGUUUCUCCAUAUGUGGGAGGGGACGGGGGGCCAAUAUCACCCACCUCUUCAGGAAGUGUCCUGUGAAAGCCUAGAAUGGUGGGGAAGGGGCUCUCCGUGGCCCCGUGGAGUCCUCACAGCCAGCAGGCACUGCGGCUGGCAGCAUUAUGCCAUUGGAGGAGAUCCAGGGCUGCCAGUCCCCGUCCUCUGCUCCCCCAUGCCUUUCAACCCCGCUCCCUGCGACACAGAGAAGGAGAUUAGGAUUAAUCUUCCGUCUGACAUGCUGAUAUUAACACCAUUUUUUCUGCCUUUCCUCUCAUUUGCUGUACAUUUUGGGCUUGUUAGAAAGGAAAAGGAGGGGCAGAGAACAAAAUCUAAGUCUGGGCCAUGGAUUACUCCUAGAGAGGAGGGGGGCAGGUUCAAAGGGGGUUUUCUUGUGAUGGGGACAGAAGGACAAUCAUUUUGGCAGAGAACAGUAUGGUGUCAGGAUCACUCUCUGUUGAUGUGAUUUGGGAUAUGUGGGUUCAAAUUGCCACACAGGGAAAAGAGAAGGGCUUUAGAUAAACCCAGCCAUUCGAUAGGCCUGUCUGUCUGAAAUGUUUGACUGAAAUAAUUAUUUGAUAAAGGUGUAGAAUAUUGAGGUAAAAUAUUUGCUCAGAUCCACAUAAAUUAUAUCCAAAUAUCAGUCAAAAUAUUUUUUAAAUGCAAUAACUAAUUUAGAAUUGCAUAGUAAUGGAGUAAAGCAGGUUUAGGGAGCAGAACCAGAACUGGAAGUUUAAAUCCUGAAACUAUCUGCAAGUCUUGACAUAGAUCGUUUAAUGUCAGAUAGACAUAUUGCUAGUUGUGGGGAGUGCAAAACCAAACAAAGUUAAUUAAAACUUGUUUUGACUGUUA